UACGGGGGGGGCAAGCGUUGUUCGGAAUUACUGGGCGUAAAGGGUUCGUAGGUGGCUUGCUAAGUCAGACGUGAAAUCCCUCAGCUUAACUGGGGAACUGCGUCUGAUACUGGCGAGCUUGAGUGCAGGAGAGGAACGCAGAAUUCCAGGUGUAGCGGUGAAAUGCGUAGAUAUCUGGAGGAAUACCGGUGGCGAAGGCGGCGUCCUGGACCAACACUGACACUGAUGAGCGAAAGCCAGGGGAGCAAACGGG
rnacentral:rRNA from 1 species